UACGAAGGGGGCUAGCGUUGUUCGGAAUCACUGGGCGUAAAGGGCGCGUAGGCGGCGCGACAAGUCAGGCGUGAAAGCCCCGGGCUCAACCCGGGAAUUGCGCUUGAUACUGUCGUGCUUGAGGCCGGGAGAGGAUGGCGGAAUUCCCAGUGUAGAGGUGAAAUUCGUAGAUAUUGGGAAGAACACCGGUGGCGAAGGCGGCAUCCUGGACCGACAUUGACGCUGAUGAGCGAAAGCUAGGGGAGCAAACGGG
rnacentral:rRNA from 1 species